GAGUUGCUAGUAACCGCGUAUCAGCGAUGGCGCGGUGAAUACGUACCCGGGCCUUGUACACACCGCCCGUCACGUCAUGGGAGUUGUCAACGCCUGAAGUCCGUGGGCCAACCUGGAGCUUGUCGAAGGGGGGCAGCGGCCGAGGGCUGGGGCAGCGACUGGGACGAAGUCGUAACAAGGUAGCCGUACCGGAAGGUGCGGCUGGAUCACCUCCUUU
rnacentral:rRNA from 1 species